UACUGCAUGGUCUAUUGCUUUGACUACUGUCAUCAACACACUCAUCUCUUCCAAUGCUUUGGUUUCCUCUAGGGCCUUGAAGACCUUCUAUUCUUCUACAGCCGAGUGAAUCACUCCAAUAGACUCCUCUUACCAAGUUACCAAGCACUGCCAAAGUCAGUCACUCAGUCUGGCUCAUCCUCUGGUCACAGACAGUGUCUUAGAGGCUUCAAACGUAAGAUUCUUUGCCAGAGGCAGGAAACAUGGGAAGAAAAUGGAUUUGGGGGAGCAGUUGUGGAAGUUUCCAUGGCCUUCAGGAUGAACAACAGUAUCUGA
rnacentral:lncRNA from 1 species